CGAACAGGUGAGUAACGCGUGAGCAACCUGCCUAUGACAGUGGGAUAGCCUCGGGAAACCGGGAUUAACACCGCGUAAAAUCGUAGAAACACAUGUUUUAACGGUCAAAGAUUUAUCGGUCAUAGAUGGGCUCGCGUCUGAUUAGCUAGUUGGUGAGAUAACAGCCCACCAAGGCGACGAUCAGUAGCCGGUCUGAGAGGAUGAACGGCCACAUUGGAACUGAGACACGGUCCAA
rnacentral:rRNA from 1 species